UACGAAGGGGGGCUAGCGUUGUUCGGAUUUACUGGGCGUAAAGGGCGCGUAGGCGGCGUGUCAAGUCAGGCGUGAAAGCCCCGGGCUCAACCUGGGAACCGCGCUUGAGACUGGCAUGCUCGAGUUCGGGAGAGGAUGGUGGAAUUCCCAGUGUAGAGGUGAAAUUCGUAGAUAUUGGGAAGAACACCGAUGGCGAAGGCAGCCAUCUGGACCGACACUGACGCUGAGGCGCGAAAGCGUGGGGAGCAAACAGG
rnacentral:rRNA from 1 species